UCACCUAAAUGAAAGCCCACUUGUGAUUCGCCCUAAGUAAACCAGAAUCCGGUGGGCUGGAACGGGCCGGAAUCUGAGGUGUGAGUAGAGCCUGGGGGAGAGUGGAUCCAGGUGAAGGGGGCAGAGGACUGAGAGUUUUCAUCCUCUUGAAUAAGAACUCGACAAUAGAGUGGGAACUUUCUGUCUUGUGAUCGAUUGCCUGGCUUUCUGUAUUUGUCUGCGGCUUUCACGGGAGUGUGUCACAGGAAGGCGGCACUGGAGCACAGAGGACACUUGAUUGUGUGGUGCGCAGGGCGGGGGACCGCCGCUGCCUCCCCGCGGGAUGGCUGACACUGUGCUCGGAGUCGGUGCAGGCGUGUUCAUCUUAGCCCUGCUCUGGGUAGCAGUGCUGCUGCUAUGUGUGCUGCUGUCCAGGGCCUCCGGGGCAGCGAGGUUCUCUGUCAUUUUUUUAUUCUUCGGUGCUGUGAUCAUCACAUCAGUUCUGUUGCUUUUCCCGCGAGCUGGUGAAUUCCCAGCCCCAGAGGUGGAAGUUAAGAUUGUGGAUGACUUUUUCAUUGGCCGCUAUGUCCUGCUGGCUUUCCUUAGUGCCAUCUUCCUUGGAGGCCUCUUCUUGGUUUUAAUCCAUCAUGUUCUGGAGCCGAUCUAUGCCAAACCACUGCGCUCCUACUGACCACUCUUCAGGAAAAUGAAAACCUGUUCUCUCCUUCAUUGUGAUGACAUUGAUGAGCAGGAAGGCACUAUUCAGAGCCUUGUUUUGACAGCCCUCAUGCCUUAAGGGUAGAGAAGAUACCCAGUCCUGCCACCCCACAGGCAACUAAGCUCUAAAUUCCAAGAAGAGAGAACAGUUUCCUGCCACCAAAGAAAUGAGAGCUGGGAUCGAAAUCAGGCUCAGUGCCACAGACAGAAUGAGAAAGUGUGUUUUUAAUGGUUUACAUCACAUCAUGCUGGAGAUGAUACAGUCUGUGCAUUUAGCCCAAGUCCUGCCCUCGGAGAACUCUUGGGUGAGGUGGUCACACAGUAGCCCUUAUGCUGUGCCCAAAUGCUGUGAGGCCAGCCCCUUCACUUGUUUUAAGCUUUGGGGAUUUCUUUUGUUUGCCUGUGGUUAUUUUCCUGCCGUUAAAUUGGUCAUACCCCAGUUUUACACUGGGAAUAUUAUCAAUUUCCUAUUACUGUUGUAACAGAUUGCCAUAGACUUACUGGUUUUGAACAAUCCACAUUUAUCGCUCCGGAGGUGCGAAACCAGAAAUGGGUUUCAGGGGGUAAAGGAAAGGCUUUGGAUCCUUGAGAGAACCCAUUUCCUUGCCUUUUCCACCUUCUAGAGGCCGCCCCUAUCCCCCUGGCUGGUGGACCCUUCCUCAGUCUUCAAGGUCAGCAGAGCAGCAUCUGCCAAUCCCCAACACUCCUGCCUCCCUCUGUGAUUCAUCCGGAGCCCUGUGAUUCCACUGGGUCCACCCCAUCAGUCUUUCUAUCUCAAGAUCCUUAAUCACAUAUGCAAAAUCUCAUUUGCCAUGUAAGGUAACAUUCACUGGUUCUGAAAAUUAGGAUGUGGACAUCUUAUGGGGGCACAUUGUACCUAUCACAGAAUAUAGGGCCCCUUCUCCCCUAAGCAUUGCCUCCUUCCACCCCCAUCUGCCAUCUUCCCUACCCCCACACCUUUCAGUAGGAGGUCUGCUCCUUUGUCACUUCUCAGGAUUCCCAACAGCAACUCUCCCACCCCCACUCAGACACCCAGAAUGUGUUGAGUUCCUCCUGCCAGCCUCAGUCUUAGUGGUGGCCUCAUGGUGCUAGGACCAACCAAGAGCUUCUUUCCCGUUCUUUUCUUUGCCUCUUGCCUCCUCCUCGUCCUCCCCCAGCCACCCCACACACACUCGCCCAGCCUCCCAGUGGAUCUCUAAGGGAGAAACACAAAGAGUUAUUACUUUUUAAUUACAAGUGCUAUUGUAGCAUCUAUAAGGAAGAACAUUUUAAGCUUAAUUGAGACCAAAUGUGAAGUUAAAUUAAAUGAAUAACUAAUUAACGUAAUGCUCCUACAUUAGCCCCAUGUGAGUGAGUGCUGAGGCCCAGGGAGAAGGCAGGUACUAGGCCUCUGGUGAACAGGCUGUGCCCAGAGCUGCCCAAACAGGGCCAGGAACCUGGGACCUGGGAGAUGGGUGCAGACAGGCAGAUCUCAGUGCUGGGGUUCCCCCAGCCUUCAGUAUUUUUUCCAACUCCCUACCCACAGCCUAAGUCCUCAUUUCUGAGGCCAGACCCUGAGCUCCCACAAUGCCUUUUGCAUGUGUCUAGUGCCGCACUUACCUGCUGGUAGGAGCCAAUGCCAUUUGUUCAGUUUUCAGUCUCUAAGACCUAACACCCUAGGAGUUGGAUAAGUAUUCAUGUUAACUUCCUCCCUCAUCCACUACCCCUCACUACCUUAUCAAAUGAAUCAUCCAAGUCCUGAGAAUUCUGCCUUCAUAAGGAAGAAGGACUCUUCCCGUUGCCCCGGAAUCGCCCUUCUGCCAGCCGUGUUCCUGCAUGGCUGGACUAAUGAACAGCAUAGCUCUCACCUGGAGUCACUGUCUCCGUGUGUUUUCCUAUUUAUCCCCUAACUAGACAAGUUCUUCAAGGGCAGGAGUGUGUUGAGUAUGUGUCUCCCUUCAUACUAAUCCUAUGAGGUAGGUAAUGUCACCAUUUUCCUGAUGACGAAACAGGCUUAAAGUUAGUAAGCAGUGCAGCUGGGGAAGAGAAGACCUCGAGAGACCCAUUCCUCUUCCCCUGCCCUCUGAAGCAGAAAGCAAGCUGGAAGUCUGAAAAGUCAAGAGGCUCCUGCUCCUGUCUCUGCCAGGAAGCAGGAUGGAACAACAGCCCACCCUGGGCUGUAUGAUGGGAUUGGGUCACCAUCUAGUGGCUCAUAUAAGCAACACAGCUUCUCCUUAAACUCCUUAAUUAUAAGUGCUAUUGGAGCAUCUCUAAGGAAGAACAUUUUGAGCUUAAUUGAGACCAAAUGUGAAGUUAAAUGAAUAACUAAUUUCAUUUCAUUCUCAAUGUCAAAGAGCAGCAGCAAGCAGCUUUCCUGAAUGCUGAACAUAAGGCCAGAGUAUAGCUCUUGCCCCUGUGGGCUCUGAGGACUUGGAGGUCCCUGGCUGACUCUUAACACUCAGAGCUGAGGUGACUGCAGGCAGGAGGAGCCUUCCUUGUUUGUUGCCAUUGGUGCCUGUGCAGCCUGCUUCAGUGUGGAAGGGUGUGUAUCUGGCUAAUGCACCAGCCCACAACGUCCCAGGAAAUGCAAGGCUUUUAUCUUGUAUGGCGCUCUAAGCUCCCAGUUUGCCCACACAUCAUCAGUAUCAUGAGCAUCCUCUUCAGGAAUGCCCACUGUCAUCAGCUUUAACCUACCCACUUGGUGAUCCUGGGACCCCACUUCAGCACCCCAUGCCAGCCCCGCUCACUGCCAAGCCAAGCCCCAACAAGGAUGAGCAUGGGUGCAGCAGGUCAAAGGGAAUCUAUUGGUGCCAGUGGGCAACUUUAGGCUCAGAUGGAGAUGCCAAGCGCUAGCCAGAAGACAGCGAGUGAUCCGGGACUUGGGGUGGAAGGAGAGCAUAGAAAAGUGGAAAAGGGAGCAGCAGAUGGUACCAGGUGACCACACCUGCAGCAGCUGCCUGAAUGAACCAUUCACGCCCUCACGUCUUGCCAGUCUUGUCACCGUUGGCACCUGUGCUCAGGGCAUAAGUCCUUCUUGUGUCCAUUGUCUACUCCAUUCCUAGAGCAGAGCUGGCAUACAGUAGGCACUCCUUGGCAUUUCAUUCUCAAAAUACUUAAUACACAUACUGGUAUUUUUAGUCAUGCCAACCCCUCUUUCUACUCUCCCCACAGCACCGGUCCCCAGUCACCUUCCACUGAGGACAUUACGGGGCCGGGAUCAGAGUGAGGCAAGGGAGGCACUCAGGGCCGGCAUGUGCCCAAGAGGGAGUGCCCCCUCAAAUUAUGUACCGAAGGCAGCUCCCCUGCCUCACCCGAGUGCUGGCCCUGGAGGAACAGCAGUGAUGGGCGGGUAAUGGAGUUAUCAACAGGCCUAAAUGGAGGGUAGAAGAGGGCCCAGCUUGGGGAAAUGCACAGGGAAGACUGUUUCAUGGAUAGAGGGACAAAGAGAGGCUGGGCUCUGUUGACGGAGUGAGAUGCCCACCUAUAAAUACAGGCAGAUUACAGAGGUUAAAAUUUAACAUGGGAAGGAGAGACACACAUUUUCCAGGCCUUGGCCUUGUGAAGCCUUCUGUCUUGGAAUCUGAACAAGCAAGAGUCUGAGCAUAUCCUUCCCUUAUCAAAAUGGAGACACAACUCAGCCCCAGUCUCAUCCCUUUUGCUUGCAGCUUCCAGAGCUCAGGCCCCUGAAUCUUCUAUAUCUUCAUGCUUGGCAGUCCCCUUCCCAUGGAGAAUCUCUGUGUCCUUAGGCAGCCCUGGGUCUGGGCUGGGCUGGCUGAUGUUCAAUAAAGAGGGUUUGCCUCCCCUA